UUUUCUUAACAUUUUUAUUUAGUAUAAGUCAGGAACAAAAGGAUUACUUUUAACUCAUUUAUGCAUCUAUACAAUACUACAUUCAUCGAAUUGACCUUUAGCUAUGUUCUUUUUACUUAAGUCGGAAGCCUAUGUAUUCUGAAGAUUGAGUGAAAGUCUGGGCACGAUUUUCUGUUCUGAAUAUAUUGUCCAUGUUCUGAUAUAAUGAUCUGUUUACAAUAUGUGUGUUUAGAUAUUCUUGAACGUUCGAUAUGAUGUUGUGUUCGGAAUAUUGUGUUUAUGUUUCCAUAUGAUGUUGUACUAUGAAAUUGGACGUAAUUUUAUACAUAGUGUUGAAUUAUAUCAAACUUGUUAAUCGGCUUGCUUUCUUGUUUGGAAUUUUUAUAUCCUUUUUAUAAUAAUAAUAAAAAUAAUAAUAAUCUUUAUUAUCCGUAAGUAAAUGUGUUCUACAACUGUUUAAAAAUAAACUACUGUACUACAAAAAAGAAAAAGUGGCAGUUGAUAGAUCUACAGGAG